GAUGAACGCUGGCGGCGUGCCUAAUACAUGCAAGUCGAGCGAACAGACGAGGAGCUUGCUCCUCUGACGUUAGCGGCGGACGGGUGAGUAACACGUGGAUCACCUACCUAUAAGUCUGGGAUAACUUCGGGAAACCGGAGCUAAUACCGGAUAACAUGUUGAACCGCAUGGUUCAACAGAUAAAGACGGUUUUGCUGUCUCUUAUCGAUGGUUCCGCGCCGCAUUAGCUAGUUGGUAAGGUAACGGCUUACCAAGGCAACGAUGCGUAGCCGACCUGAGAGGGUGAUCGGACACACUGGAACUGAGACACGGUCCAGACUCCUACGGGAGGCAGCAGUAGGGAAUCUUCCGCAAUGGGCGAAAGCCUGACGGAGCAACGCCGCGUGAGUGAAGAAGGUCUUCGGAUCGUAAAACUCUGUUAUUAGGGAAGAACAAAUGUAUAAGUAACUAUGCACGUCUUGACGGUACCUAAUCAGAAAGCCACGGCUAACUACGUG
rnacentral:rRNA from 1 species